GAGCCGUGCGGUCCCGGAAACUUUCCCCGGGUGUCGCCGUGGCCGCGCGCGCCCGGGAGCGCGGAGCGGGGCGCGCCCACCUCUGCCGCGGCGGCCGAGGGGAGCCUGGAGAAGGGUGCGCAGGCGGCGCCCCGGCUGCCCGCAGCGGAGGAGGCUGGAGCUCCGGCCGGGCGGUGCGCGCCGAGCGGUGCCAUGGGGGAGGCGCCCAGCUCCGCGCCCUCGCCCGCGCUCUGGGACUGGGACUACCUGGACCACUGCUUCGCCCGCCACCGCGUCUGCAUCUCCUUUGGCCUGUGGAUCUGCGCCUCCUCCUGCUGGAUCGCCGCCCACGCGCUGCUUCUCUACCUGAGAUGUACAAAGAAACAUGGGCAGGGUCAGUCCCCACUGUGCGCCGCCUGCUGCCUCCUGACCAGCCUGUGCGACACCGUUGGGGCGAUUCUGGCCAGACAGCUCACGAUCCAGGUUUUCAGUGGUGCCUACCUAGCCACUAUUGACUUAGCCAACUUCAUGUUCAUCCUCUUCCCAGUCUGUGGAUCCAAAUUCAAGUCUCAUUCGGGCCGACACACCAGAAAGAGGAAGAGGAGGAAGCAGCUCAGAGCUGGCGUAUUUGCCCUGGCUCUGCCUCUGAGCCUGGGCCCAGGCUGGGCUCUCUGGGCUGCUGUUCCAAAGGCUUCAGCUCUGGUCCGGGGGCCCCAGCGGAGGCUGCUGGGAAGCCUGCUGCAGGAAAAUACCGAAGUCCUCGGCUACCUGCUGGGUGUCAUUGCUGCCUUGGGCGCCUGGGCCUCUCGGAUACCCCCACUCUCCAGAAUCUGCCGGGGGAAGUCAUUCUCCUACAUCCACCUGUGGACACGGCUGCUGUCCGCCCUGGCGGGCCUCCUCUACGCCUCAGCCAUUGUGGCCCAUGACCGGCAGCCCGAGUACCUGCUUCGGGCUACACCCUGGUUCCUGACCUCCCUGGGCCGAGCUGCUCUGGACCUUGCUAUCAUCUUCCUUUCGUGUGUGAUGAAGAGCAAGAUGAGGCAAGCCUUAGGAUUCUCCACAGAAGCCAGAGAGAGCCCCGACACCCAGGCCCUUCUGACCUGUGCAGAGGAGGAGGGAGAGAACCAGGAGGCUGGGACCAAGGACAAGACUUCAGAUUGGGUGCCACUCACCACCCUGUCACACUGCAAGUCACUGAAGAUGAUGGCAGCAAUCAGUCAUUACAUGGAGCUGACCGUCGAGCCUAUACAGCAGGCAAGCUGUGGUGCCAUGAGACUGCCUGGUGAUGGACAGACCAGCACAGGAGACGCGUCACUGCAAGAGCCCCCCUCAUACCCUCCCGUUCAGGUCAUCCGGGCCCGAGUGUCUUCCAGCAGCUCCUCUGAGGUGUCCUCCAUCAACUCAGACCUGGAGCAGAAGUAUUGGGAGGCCCUAAACUCGGAGCAGUGGGAUCCUGAAGAUGUCAAUUUUGAAAGGAACAAUGACAACAUGGAGACCUUCAGAUUCCAGGUGCCGAGGGGCUCUUCGACGACAGUAGACUUCAGCUCUGCUGAUUAGUAUCUUCUAAAAACCAGUCCAUCAGCUCAAAGACUAGGAUGAGGCAUUCAUCAGUAAAACUGAGCAGAGAUCGGACCUACAGUGACACCCAUAGCAGGGAUUUAAGCCACUGAAGAAGCUGCCCAGGGAAGUGAGGAACCUGGAGCUGAGCGUGGCUGGUUUACCUGGCUCCGAAUAAAUCUAAGAUUGUGGGUUCUAUGGACAGACCUGGAUAUGCCAUUUGUUCUGAAGAUUAGAAGCUCACAGAUGGCUCCUGCUUUGUAAAGAUAAGCCUUCAUCCAAAGGACAAUGGGCCCUCUUUUCCCGUCUUUCCUUUCCCUCUAUUCCCAUGAAAUGCAACUGUAAACUCAGUAUCUGCUGGAUGCCAGGAAUGAGUUCACCUAACAAAUAGCUCAUGUGUUUGGACCUCAGCAGAGCCUGUCCUGCAAGCCCUGGCUUCUGCCCUCCAGUAUCUGCUGGAAGUUAUCCAUAGGACUGCUUGGUCAACCAAGUAUCUGUGAGAUCAGUGGUAUGGCAAGCACAAGCAAAAAAACAAAAGAAUGGGUUUUUAUUGGUCUUUUCGAAGAAUGAAAAGCAAGAGAACUUCCUCCAGCCUGGCAACGCGUGUGCGGAGGCAGGGUUUACAGUUAAGGUCAAUGCCCUGGCAGAGGUGGCUGUUUUGAAUGAACCCAAGCUAUACUGCAGUGCCCAGGAAGAACUCUUCAAGAAGUUUACAUAUGCCUCUCCUAGUAUUCAAGAGUCAUCAUGUGAGAGGGACGAUCUUAAGAAGUUCAAGAACGAUACUAGAUAAAAUUACUUAGAAGUCUAAUCUGCUUUUUCUUGAUACCUAACCUUAAAGCCAAACAAACCAUGGGACAUUCGGGACUGCUCCUUUCCAGCAGGGCAAGUCAUUAACCAGCGUUAAGUUUCAAGAACCUCCGUUGAUUGAUUGCCUGGAGAAUUCGGCACGCCCUCCCAAUUCCCUUGGGCAUUUUCCAUCAGCGCUGGGUACUGGCAGGAGGCUCAGGUCUCCUCUUGCUAGUCCUCACUCAGGGUCUGCAGCUAUGACGGCUGAGGGGUCUGUCUCCUGCAGAGCGCCUUCUCUCGGCAGUCCCCAGGGGGAUCGUUCACAACCGCCUGAGGGCCAGUCGAUGGCCUCCCCAAAAGAAGGGUGGUGGCCCAUUGUCCAUAUGAGUGGAAACUGAACCACGUCUCCCCACGCCUACCUCUUGGGAGAACCGGCCAUCGGCAGAUAGCAGGUAGCCCAUUCAAACCACUCACCUCGUACUUCCGGGAAGAGGGGAAGAGGCGCAGCCCUGCGCCUGCGCACUCCGCAGCCACCGUCUCCCCCUGGGAGUGCGAGUCCCGCCCCCGCGGAGUCCGCCGCUUUCGGGCUCCGGCCCGCGCAGCCGCGGCCCGGGAGACCACCAGCGGCUGGUAGUUGCUGUCAGUCUGUCUCCUCUGAGUUUUUAGGGAGUUAGUCACAUAGUCAUUUUUUUGGUUCCUAGUGUAGUUAGGACCAAUCAACAGACUUAGCCUGCACUGUAAACCAUUCUUUAAGUACACUAAAAAAAUUUUUGAAAUAAAUAUAAUACAGGUGCGUGGUUUAAAAAAGAAAAUCAGAUCCGACCAAGUUUAUGAAGAACAACAAUUCCCUGGCCCUCCGUUCCCAACCUGCUUACUUCUUUCCUUCCUCGCAAUCACACUUGCUCAUGUUCCCAAAGUGUUUUGUCCAACUGUCUUCUCCAUUGAUUUUUUGUUUUGUUUGUUUUGCUGGUGUGAAACCCUGGGCCUCACACAAGCACAUAGGGCUCUAUUAGUUUUGAAUUGGAACCCAGCUGCUGUCAACAAAGUUCUAAGAUUAUAGUUUUUUAGCUAAAUUAUCUCUAACUUCCAUUAACUACAGGCUAAUGAGGUUCAGUAGGUGGGACAGGGAUACUGGCAUGUUGAGAAUGGUGUUAAGAACUGUCUACACAUCUGCAGGUUACUGCGGAGUCCUCUGUACCACUAGAACCCAGUUUCUGAGUCCCAGGUUACUGGAUCUGAGCCCACUCCAACUGACAUCUGCCUUCAGGACAGCCUGGCAAGUUCUACCUAUCUACUCUGGAUUUGACCUUUCCCUCUAUCCCUCUACCUCUUCUCCUGCAGAUAUCUUAGCCCUUGGAAUCUCCUGUGGAAAACAGGGUUUUCUAACCCCACCACCAGAACAAAGGACUGUGUACACUUUCACCACCACAGUCUUUCCCAAGGACAGCCUGGCCACGUGUGAAGAGAGCCAUUUCAUAGGCCUAAUGUUUUAACCAUCACACUUUGUGAAAUGUGUACCCUAAAGCUCUGAUAUUCAAAUAUAGGUUCUUAAGCUCCAGCCUAGGUCUGGACAGGGCCUGGGAAUCUUAAGCUCCUCAAGUGAUUCUGUCACAGAGGAUAGAGGACCACUCUUUGAGAAACACUGUCCUUAGGAAAUCAAUUUAAAACUGAUCUAUUUGUGUAAGAAGAUGUUCCCAUGAAACUACUUAAAAUAGGGGGGGAAAGUGAUAAGUACCCCAUGAUUGGGAAACAUUAAACAUUACACCUUUAUUUUUUUGUGUGUGCAGUAUUGAACCCAGGAUUGAACCCAGGGGCUCUCUGGGCUAAGUUACAUCCCUAGCCCUUUUAAUUUUUUGAGACAAGUUCUCUAUAAGUGGCCUGGCUGACCUCAAACUUGUAAUCGUCUUGCUUCCCAAGUAGUUGAGAUUACGUAUGUGAGAUAUCAUGUUCAACUAAAUAGAAUAAUUUAAUGAAAUUACAUUUUGCCUUGAAGUCUAAAAGAUUGUGGGACAAUAAACUGAGGCACAUACCUGAAUUGCCUUGAAAUUAUUUGGUGCGAUGCCAGAGUGCAAGUUAUUCUGAUAAUGAAUUUCUAGUUCUCACAUGGUGAAAAAAAAUCCUUUUUUAAAAAAAAAUUUUUAUUGUGGUGGUGGUUAUAAAGUUGUAUGUAUGUUUGAGCUUCUGAGGAGGCAGGAUUGAGACACUGAAAGGCUGAACCAACUCCGCGUGAGCAGAGUGGCAGAGGAUGUUUUUGAUAGCACCCCUAACCAGGAAACAGAUUCCUGUGGGCAAGCAGUGACUCACCCCCCAGUCUCAGUGAGUCAACAGUGUCCUAAGGGAGCCAGGGCUGGCAGCCUUCUGCUGCAAGGGAUGUAAGCAGGGCCUAGACUUAGUCCAGGAUAUCAGUGUGACAGAUCAGGGGUGACAGAACAGAUCCCAAGGAGUGGAAAGGGAGCUGAAUCCUUUGAAUGGGUCAGGUUAAAAAAAAAAAAAAACUACAGAAUAAAGCAAGUUAAAAAAGAGAGAAAGAGAGAGAGAACACAAGCCAGGGCAGUGGAGCAUGCCUAUAAUCCCAGCAGCUUGGAGGCUGAGGUAGGAGAAUCUCAAGUUCAAAGCCAGAGUCAGCAAUUUUUGGACGCCCUAAAGCAACUUAGCAAGACCCUGUCUCAAAAUAAAAAAUAAAUCAAAAGGAUUGGGAAUGUUGCUCAAUGGUUAAGCACCCCUGGGUUCAAUCCCCAGUACCCACUCCCCCUAUAAAAGAUAGAACACAAGAGAGCAUGUGCCAUUAUUAGUAAUUACAAGAGAAAAUUCAUUAGUAUCAGAAAUCAUUAGAUUCCAUGAUAGAUUAUGUGGAAGUUGGUAUAGUGGCACACACCUGUGAUCUCAGUGACUUGGGAGGCUGAAGCAGAAGGACCACAAGUUCAAAGAUAGCCUCAGCAAUUUAAGGAGGCCCUAAGCAACUUUGUGAGACCCUGUCUCUAAAUAAAAUAUUUUUAAAAGGGGUAAGAAUGUGGCUCAGUGGUUAAACAGCCCUGUGUUCAAUCCCCAGUAUCCCCGCCCCCCAAAAAAAAUUAAGGAAGGGGGCAGAAUUUUUCCAGAGUUCUUAUUCUGAAUAAGAAAAAGGGCAUUUGAAAAACAGCUGGGGUAGGGAUGGGAGACAGUGUUGGAGAUAGAUUUAAGUGGCAGAGGGCUUGCCAAUCAUGUACAAGGCCCUGGGUCCAAUCCCUGGCACCAAAAUUAAAAAGAAAAAUAGCCAGGCACGAUGGUGCAGAUUCAUGGUCCCAGCUACUGGAAGGACUGACACAGAAGGAUCACUUGAGCCCAGGAGUUUGAAACAAGCUCAGUCAAACCCUGUCCUUAAGUGUGUGUGUGUGUGUGUGUAAGUAUAUAUAAAAAAUAUAUAAAUAUAUAAUUUUUUCAGGUUUAUGUGGAGUGAGAGCUAUUAAAAGCACAUGUGUCCAAAGGGGACAAUUAGUGAACCUAGGUGAAAAGUCUAAACAUGUUCAUGGUGUUAUUCUUUCAUCAUUCCUGUGGGUUUGAAGUGCUUCAAAACAAGGCAUUGGAGAAAGUAUAGCAGUGAACAGACUCACAAUUGGCCUCCUUGUUGAGGUGGCUUUCCAGGGACUACAGUCACAUUUGCCAGCAAAGGACCCUGACAUUCAAGGGCUAUUGUUUGAUUUUGUGUUACUAGCAACAGACUUCCUGGGACUUUGUGAAGGAAGGAGCUGGACUAGUAGGGGCUGCUUUUCAAGCAGAUUCCAAGUGUACGAGAUUCUGAGCUGGCUGAUGACGAUGGCAGGCAUUAAAGGGUGGACAGGUUCCAGUUUGUCUGGUGUUGAGAAAAAAAUAUGCCCUAUAUCUUAGACAGCCGUGAUAAGGUGCCUCCAUGGAUAUGAGUAAUGGUCAGACCCAGGGGAUGGACAGGCCUAAGAAGUCUGGACAACGGAAAGCCUGGAGCACCGCGACAAGGAAAUUCUUCCCCUGAAUUGCCUUUUCCUAUUGAGAUAAGAUAAUGCACAAUAAAGCGUGGGGCUACAGAGAAGUGCUGCCACCACCCACAGCGAGCAGCCUUUGCACAGGCCCAGUGGAGGAGGCACGUAGCCUCCAGGGGGCUGAAGCUGGCCUGCUACCCACGGGAUAGAACCAUUGACCUUAGAUCCUGAGGCAGGUCGUGACUCCCAACACUCACCAGCUGUGGAACUCUGAUUCCCAUUAUUCUUUUUUUUUUUCUUCUUUUUCUUAGUUAUGGUGCUGGGGAUGGAACCCAGUGCCUUGUGCACGCUAAACACAUUCUAUACUCCAGUCACCAGCCACACCACCAGUGCCGGAGUCCCUUUAUUCUUUUAAAAAAAAAGACUACAUGUGUGUGUCUCUAUAUAUGUAUAUAUACCCCUCUUCUACCUUACUGAAUGGUUGCAAAAAGUGAUAAUAAAUCAUGAAAGGACUUUGUCAACUCCUAA